GCAGUGGUGGUUCAGUGGUAGAAUUCUCGCCUUCCAUACAGGAGAUCCAGGUUCGAUUCCAGGCCAAUGCA
rnacentral:tRNA from 1 species